ACGAAGGGUGCAAGCGUUACUCGGAAUUACUGGGCGUAAAGCGUGCGUGGGUGGUGAGUUAAGUCUGUCGUGAAAGCCCCGGGCUCAACCUGGGAAUGGCGAUGGAUACUGGCUUACUAGAGUGCGGUAGAGGGUAGUGGAAUUCCCGGUGUAGCAGUGAAAUGCGUAGAUAUCGGGAGGAACAUCUGUGGCGAAGGCGACUACCUGGACCAGCACUGACACUGAGGCACGAAAGCGUGGGGAGCAAACAGGA
rnacentral:rRNA from 1 species